rnacentral:rRNA from 1 species
AUUGAACGCUGGCGGCAUGCCUUACACAUGCAAGUCGAACGGUAACAGGUCUUCGGAUGCUGACGAGUGGCGAACGGGUGAGUAAUACAUCGGAACGUGCCCGAGAGUGGGGGAUAACGAGGCGAAAGCUUUGCUAAUACCGCAUACGAUCUCAGGAUGAAAGCAGGGGACCGCAAGGCCUUGCGCUCACGGAGCGGCCGAUGGCAGAUUAGGUAGUUGGUGGGAUAAAAGCUUACCAAGCCGACGAUCUGUAGCUGGGCUGAGAGGACGACCAGCCACACUGGGACUGAGACACGGCCCAGACUCCUACGGGAGGCAGCAGUGGGGAAUUUUGGACAAUGGGCGCAAGCCUGAUCCAGCCAUGCCGCGUGCAGGAUGAAGGCCUUCGGGUUGUAAACUGCAUUUGUACGGAACGAAAAGACUCUGGUUAAUACCUGGGGUUCAUGACGGUACGGUAAGAAUAAGCACCGGCUAACUACGUGCCAGCAGCCGCCGUAACAC